rnacentral:rRNA from 1 species
GAUGAACGCUGGCGGCGUGCCUAAUACAUGCCAGUCGAGCGAACAGACGAGGAGCUUGCUCCUCUGACGUUAGCGGCGGACGGGGGAGUAACACGUGGAUAACCUACCUAUAAGACUGGGAUAACUUCGGGAAACCGGAGCUAAUACCGGAUAACAUGUUGAACCGCAUGGUUCAACAGUGAAAGACGGUCUUGCUGUCACUGAUAGAUGGAUCCGCGCCGCAUUAGCUAGUUGGUAAGGGAACGGCUUACCAAGGCAACGAUGCGUAGCCGACCUGAGAGCGUGAUCGGCCACACUGGAACUGAGACACGGUCCAGACUCCUACGGGAGGCAGCAGUAGGGAAUCUUCCGCAAUGGGCGAAAGCCUGACGGAGCAACGCCGCGUGAGUGAAGAAGGUCUUCGGCUCGUAAAACUCUGUUAUUCGGGAAGAACAAAUGUGUAAGUAACUAUGCACGUCUUGACGGUACCUAAUCAGAAAGCCACGGCUAACUACGUG